UUUCUCCCCCUUUUCGAAGAAAUCCCAGAAGAAGCAGAGGUGGUUGAAGCAGUGGAUCUUGAAGUCUUAUAAUAUCAGCGACCGAAAUUACUAUCCGCUACAAUGACUCACCAAGACGGCAUAGCAGAUGUGUUGCAGGACAUGGACCGAUAUGGACCGCUCUCUUACACUGGGGUCCGAGCAUCAGUCGAGAACAGAGGGAAGGUGCCCAUUAAAUGAGAAUGCGUUUAACAUGGAGGCCGUCAGGUUUGCAACAUUAAAGCCAAGAUGAAGUCAAACUGAAUGGCACACAAAGAAAAUAAUGAAUAAUGCAAAGGACUGUAAGUUUUUCCACAGGCAGAACUAUAAAUCCAGAUGGCAUGGUGGAUCCACCCAAGCUGAAGAAAAAUAACAGUGGAGGACCGAAAGGCUGAGAAAAACAAAUGUAUGAAGGUGGUGAUGGAAUAAGAAUUUCACACCUACAGUACCUACCACACUUGGCUCUCACACAUCAGAUAGGGAGAAAGCACAGAUGAACGCAUGUAAAUGUAGUAUACAAGACAUUAGGUAAUGUUAUUGUCUAAAGCUUUCCACUAGAUUUCUUCCUGUUUCAUGAUAAACAUCCAGCAAGGAAUCCAAACAAAGCAUGCUGCAGUUGUUUAAUGCUCAUUGUAAUGACAAUAUAAUUGACUUUGCCUUCAUCUUAAAAAUUGUAGCUCAUUAUUGCAUGUUUGAAAGAAAACUAAUUAUAUCAGUUUGUACACUACUGUUAAAGGCACAACUAAAACAUCCAAAAACCACUAGAACAGCGUUACAUAUUGUUGACUUGUGUUCUUGAAAUUUGUCUUAAUGUUUCCAAAAAUGUUUAAAUCCAGAGAAAUCAGCCAUUUUAACCAGUGUAACAUCUCCUGUCAAUGAUGUCAUAUCCGCCUUCCCAUCGAUUUCCGGUUUUACUUCUGUAGAAACCAUGGAAACACCUAAGACACUUUAAUGUGUUUUAUUAGGUGAACAGUUUGGAUACCUUUAUCCAAUCUAAAUGAAAUGUUUAUUUUCAUGACAUAUCCAAAUCCCAAAUAAAGUAUAUGUAGUAAACC